rnacentral:rRNA from 1 species
UACGUAGGCAGCAAGCGUUGUUCGGAGUUACUGGGCGUAAAGGGUGUGUAGGCGGUCGGAUAAGUGUGGUGUGAAAUCUCCCGGCUCAACUGGGAGGGUGCGCUACAAACUGUCUGGCUAGAGUGCGGGAUGGGAAAGUGGAAUUCCUGGUGUAGCGGUGAAAUGCGUAGAUAUCAGGAGGAACACCGGUGGUGUAGACGGCUUUCUGGACCGUAACUGACGCU